UUCAUUCGGCCGCUCUUGCAUUCUUCAAACCCUAAUCUUCUUCAUCUUCAACCCCCCAAAAGCACAAACCUGGUGAAAACCAAACCCCGCAAGACCAAAAUUCAAACACUCAUCUUCUUUCGUUCACCUUCUCACUCUCUCUCGCAAACAGGAAAGAGGACUCAAACCGUAUACACAAAUCUCAGAAAACCAGAUCUGAGUCUUUUACAUUCAAAUCUUAUGGGUUUGCGUUCAGAUCUGACUGCUUCUACAGUUUCACGUUUCAUCUGACUGCUUCUACAGUCUGCUUUGUGGUAGCAGGUUUAUCUGGAUGUGGAUCUGGAUCUGGAUCUGGAUCUGCAUCUGAAUCGAUUUAAUUUAGGGUUUAUCUGGAUCUGGAUCUGAGUCUUUUUAGGGCUUUGCUGAAUCUUCUAUUAUGUGUUUUAGUAUUUGUUUAUUUACGAAACAUAAAUUAUUGCAGGCUUUUUAUUGAUAUUGUUGUUGAUUAUUUCAGUUGGUGAAGACAGAGAGUGUGGCUCUUCUUUUUUGUAUGGAGCCUUGCGAUAAUCUGGAUUUCCUGAAAGACAUGGAAUGGGAUCUGGGGUAUUGGUGUCCACUUAUUGAUAAUAUAUGUUUCUUGCAGUAGCUUUGUAAGCUUUAAGAUAUUAGGUAUAUCUUACAAUCAGAUCACCGGUGAAUCCCAUACAAUAUUGGGUCUCUCCAAGAUCAUUUGCUGAAUGAGGUGGUGACCCUUAUUUCUAAUCUGACUGAAGAGAAAAAUUAUGCUUGUAGAGUUGGAAGGAUAUAUUCGUCCUCGAUGUACAACCUUGACUAUUUUUAUUGAAUGCCAAGGUUUAUGUGGUUGAAGGUGAUGUCUCUAUAUAUGUGUUCAAUAUUCAACUUUUAUGUAUGAUCCCAACUGUUGCAGAUGGCAUAGCUCGCAAAAGCUUGCACCGAAUGAGGAUAUGUGACAAAGGACAAGCAAGAUAGAAUAGCAUAACAAAAAGUUCCAGUUGAAGGUCACCGGGGAAAAAUCGUUGAAUUUAAUGCUGAGGUUCAAUUGGAGAAGACUUAACGCUGAGGCAUGCUUCCACGCGAUGCUGCGGUUCCCAUUCCACAACCAAUGCCUAUUACAGCGUUGGCUUCCGCUCUUGCUAACGCGUCACUAGAUCAAAAGAGGACGAUGCUGGGUAAGAAUCUAUAUCCGUUGGACCAGCUAAGGUGCUUUUGGAGAUGGACCAAACGGAGGUGUUGCAUUUGCUGGAAUCACCAGAUGCAUUGAAGGUGAAAGUUACUGGCAUGACUUUGCUUCUAGGGUUUUGUAUACGAUGAGUCGAUGAUAUUCAUCUUCUACAUAGCUAUUAUUGGUUCACUUGGAGCCUGAAGCGAAAAAAAAUGGUUCCAAGAGGACGUAUGUACCAUGGACCAGCUAGGAACAAGGCUGAUGCAAAUAUGGCGGCGGGUGGCGGCAGCGGAAUGCUUCCCGUACCUUACGAGAUGGCUGGUGUUGGCGGCAUGCUUCCACGCGAUGCCGCGGCUCCCAUCCCACAACAAAUGCCUGUUACAGCGUUGGCUUCCGCUCUUGCUAACGACCAUACUGGAUGGAUUAUGUUGUAACUCAAUGGUAUCAUGCUCUUGAACUCUGUGGCUCCUUUUUUCUCUAAAGAUACAUAUGCGGAAAUGCUUUUGAGGAAACCAUAAUUUUUCGAAAAGAAUGUGGUGCAUGAGCUGGAUCGCAUGAUUGAUUUGCUUGGCACUCCUUCCUUUAAAUCCAUUACAAGGGCUGGUCAACCAGCUACAAUGGCGGUUGGUGCGGUUAAGGUGUAUAACGCGAGAUCCGUUGACCGAGACUUUCGAAGCUGUUGUUGGUCAUAUUGCUGUCUUGGAUGGUACAAUAGACGCAGAUCAACCUGAAAAUGAGGACAGUGGGCUGAUCUUGAUUCGCUUAUCAAAGGACUGCAGAGCUAUGGUGGCUAAUCUUGUUGACACUUACCUUGCUGAGGUGGCGUCUGAUGUUAACUUAAAGCUGGAAAAGUUUCAGUCUUUGGCUGCUACUGUUCCUGAUUAUGCAAGACCAAGUGAUGACGGGAUUUAUCACGCCGUUGAUAUAUACCUCAAAACACAUCUAUGGCUAACUGAUUUAGACCGAGAACUAAUCAUUAGGCUCUUGAACUGCUAGAAACUGUCGCUAGAAGCCAGCACCUACGCGGCCCAAAACGAGAGACUACCGCUUCGGUUCAUAGUCCAAGUCCUCUUUUUUCGAGAAGCUUUCGCUGCGUGCUUUUGUAGCUGGCUGCUUAUACGUUUCUGAUAGUUACAACUCACAGCUUCGUCUGCGUACAUCUGUAGCUAGCACUUCGAGCAAUGAUCGUGACCGUUCGAGAAUAAGAGAUGUCCCUAAUGGCAAGAAUCAAGAUCAAGAAAAUGGUGAAUUGGUUGAUUGAGGGUCAAUAAAUUUAAGGUUAAUUUUUUUAGUAAUUGGACUCUCAAGCAAUCUCGGAGUCAACAUUUAGUUGAUGUUGCUGUAAUUAUAUUGUAGAUUGAUUUUGGACCAUCUUUAAAUGCU